rnacentral:rRNA from 1 species
AGCGCGGUAACGCGUGCAGCUGACCGAUACUAAUAAGCCGAGGGCUUGACCUUA